CUCAGGAUGAACGCUCGCUGUGUGCCUAAUACAUGCAUGUUGAACGGGAUGUAGCAAUACAUUCAGUAGCGAAUGGGUGAGUAACACGUACCUAACCUACCUUUAAGACUGGGAUAACUAUUGGAAACAAUAGCUAAUACCGGAUAUAGUUAUUUAUCGCAUGAUGAGUAAUAGAAAGGAGCUUCACAGCUUCACUUAAAAAUGGGGGUGCGGAACAUUAGUUAGUUGGUAGGGUAAUGGCCUACCAAGACGAUGAUGUUUAGCCGGGCCGAGAGGCUGUACGGCCACACUGGGACUGAGAUACGGCCCAGACUCCUACGGGAGGCAGCAGUAAGGAAUUUUCCACAAUGAGCGAAAGCUUGAUGGAGCGACACAGCGUGCAGGAUGAAGUUCUUCGGAAUGUAAACUGCUGUUAUAAGGGAAGAAAAAAUAGAAUAGGAAAUGAUUUUAUCUUGACGGUACCUUAUUAGAAAGCGACGGCAAACUAUGUGCCAGCAGCUGCGGUAAUACAUAGGUCGCAAGCGUUAUCCGGAAUUAUUGGGCGUAAAGCGUCCGUAGGUUUUUUGCUAAGUCUGGAGUUAAAUGCUGAAGCUCAACUUCAGUCCGCUUUGGAUACUGGCAAAAUAGAAUUAUAAAGAGGUUAGCGGAAUUCCUAGUGAAGCGGUGGAAUGCGUAGAUAUUAGGAAGAACACCAAUAGGCGAAGGCAGCUAACUGGUUAUAUAUUGACACUAAGGGACGAAAGCGUGGGGAGCAAACAGGAUUAGAUACCCUGGUAGUCCACGCCGUAAACGAUGAUCAUUAGUUGGUGGAAUAAUUUCACUAACGCAGCUAACGCGUUAAAUGAUCCGCCUGAGUAGUAUGCUCGCAAGAGUGAAACUUAAAGGAAUUGACGGGAACCCGCACAAGCGGUGGAGCAUGUGGUUUAAUUUGAUGGCUACGCGUAGAACCUUACCCACUCUUGACAUCUUCUGCAAAGCUAUAGAGAUAUAGUGGAGGUUAACAGAAUGACAGAUGGUGCAUGGUUGUCGUCAGCCCGU
rnacentral:rRNA from 1 species